ensembl:snRNA U2 U2 spliceosomal RNA
AUCACUUUUCAGCCUUUUGGCUGAGGCAGGUAGCUGUUCUCAACAGUUUAAUAUCUGGUAUGUUCUCUAUCCAAGGACAAUAUGGUAAAUUUUUAGAGCUAGGACGUAGAGUAGGAGCUUAUUCCAUCCCCUCCAUGCAUUAUAGUACCUCCAGGAACUAUGGACCGCUA